rnacentral:rRNA from 1 species
AGCGAACGCUGGCGGCAGGCCUAACACAUGCAAGUCGAACGAACCUUUCUGGAUUAUUGGCUGUCUGGAUAUUAACACCUGGCAACGUGCCUUUACGUUCUGAAUCUGUCAUGCAAACUUGUACUAAUACCGAAUGUGCCCUUCGGUGGAAAGUUUUAUCGCCUUUAGAGCUGCCGGCGUCUGAUUAGCUAGUGGGUUGAGGUAAUGGCUCACCAAGGCGACGCUCAGUAGCUGGUCUGAGAGGAUGACCAGCCACAUUGGGACUGAGACACGGCCCAAACUCCUAGGGGAGGCAGCAGGGGGGAAUGUUGAGCAAUGGGCGAAAGACGGCCGCAGCCAUGUCGCGUGAAUGAGGAAGGUGUUAGGAUAGUAAAAUUCUUUAACCGGGGACGAUAAUGACGGUACCCGGAGAAGAAGCCCCGGCUAACUUCGUG